rnacentral:sRNA from 4 species
GUAUCUGAAGCCUGACGAGGAUGAGAACCUCCGGGGACAAGAGGUUCGACCCGAGCGAAGCGAGAGAACGUUGCGCCAGCAACGGCCCGCAGUGGCAAGUCAUCCUCUGUCACCGGCAG